GCGGAAUGUGUUUGACUCAAAAAACAUAGGCAAAAGCGUGUGCUUCUGUUUUAUUCUUAUGAGCCAUUAUUUGCUCCGAAGAUUAUUAUGAGGUCCUCUGUUCUAUGGAUGAGAGUGUUAACUGUAGGGAAAACUCUUAAAAAGGCCGAAAUAACAAUUUCAAACAAGUUACAAUUUCUUGCGGUGGGAAACGUUACGUGAACCAAAAAUUCACCAGAGUAGAUUGCGAUCGCAAAAUGGGUAUUUGUGAUUAUAAUUUUAUUUCC